UGUCUCAGAGGAAUUAAUCAAAAGUUUUACAGAAAGUUGUGCAGCCUCUGAAAGGUUGGCUGUAAAACUUGAGAGCUUGGAAAUGCAGUAUCCUGUGGCUGCUGAAUCACGGACCAUUCCUCUGUGAAACCCUAACACAGAUACUUACCCCUCAGAAUUAUUUUGAAGACUGAAUGGUAUAGCAUGUGCAAAGUUCAUACCACUGGCCUGGAAUAGAAAGGUAAUUAUAGAAGAUGUAGCUGUGAGGAUGGGGAGGUGGAGGUA
rnacentral:lncRNA from 12 species